GAUGAACGCUAGCGGCAGGCUUAAUACAUGCAAGUCGUGGGGCAGCGCAGUGUAGCAAUACAUGGGCGGCGACCGGCAAACGGGUGCGUAACACGUACGCAACCUUCCCGUUACUGGGGAAUAGCCCAGGGAAACUUGGAUUAAUACCCCAUAUUAUAUUGAUUGGGCAUCUAAUUAAUAUCAAAGCUUCGGCGGUAACGGAUGGGCGUGCGGUUGAUUAGGUAGUUGGCGGGGUAACGGCCCACCAAGCCUACGAUCAAUAGCUGAUGUGAGAGCAUGAUCAGCCACACGGGCACUGAGACACGGGCCCGACUCCUACGGGAGGCAGCAGUAAGGAAUAUUGGGCAAUGGACGAAAGUCUGACCCAGCCAUGUCGCGUGGAGGAUGAAGGUCCUCUGGAUUGUAAACUUCUUUUUUCUGGGGCGAAAACCGGUUUUUCUAAACCAUUUGACAGUACCAGAAGAAUAAGCACCGGCUAACUCCGUGCCAGCCGCCGCGGUAACAC
rnacentral:rRNA from 1 species